CAGGCUGCGGAAGGAGUGCUGGACCAGGAGCCGGCCAACCGGGCUCCCGUGGGAGCCUCACCUUGAAGGACUGUGUGACCUAAAAGAACUUGCUGAACCUCUCUGGGCUCAUUCAACGAAAACUUACAGUAGAUUUGUCAAGCAUUGAUACUUCCUGCUCCUGAAGCCUCUAAAAUCUCCUGCCUCCAACCCAUCCUCUACAGUGCUCACAAACUGAGAGAUCUGGAUAAAACACAAAUUGGAACUGGUCAUAACUCUGCUUGAAAACUUGCACCUGUAAGAUAAAGUCAAACACACCCCCUUGACAUGCAGACCCUUCACUUCUGAUCCUCGCUGACUCUUCCUGUUCGGUAUCUGCCUCCCACUUUGGAGAAGCACCAUCCUUUGAUUCCAUCCAGGCUCCUGAGCACCUUCCCACUGGUGUGAGUGGGCGUCUGGCCUCCCCUAGACUGUAAGAUCCUGGCAGCAGGCCCUCCGCUGACUCAUUUUCCUCUCCUAGUAAAGGGAAG